CUCCUUGCUUAUUCCAGAAAAAGGAAACUCUGAGCCAAGAUAUUGCAGAUUCCAUCGCAGCCACACGGAUAACUAGACCUCUAACCUGACAAAAUGUAACCACCAGAAAC